rnacentral:rRNA from 1 species
UACGAGGGGGGCGAGCGUUGUUCGGAAUUAUUGGGCGUAAAGGGUGCGUAGGCGGUUCCGCAAGUCCUGUGUGAAAUCUUCGGGCUCAACUCGAAGUCUGCACGGGAAACUGCGGGGCUUGAGUGUGGGAGAGGUGAGUGGAAUUCCCGGUGUAGCGGUGAAAUGCGUAGAUAUCUGGAGGAACACCGGUGGCGAAGGCGGCAUUCUGGACUACAACUGACACUGAGGAACGAAAGCCAGGGGAGCAAACGGG